rnacentral:lncRNA from 1 species
CCUGGAGCUGUUGCAUAAGAAAACCCAGGUAUCUCCUAAAAGAUUAAGUGGAGUAUGAAGACCAGACCUGCCUGGUCUGGAAGCAUUCCCUGAGGCGAGAGUAAAAGAGCCUUUACAUGCCCAGUACAAGGAAUGAUGGAGAAACCAAGGAUGAUUUGUGUAGGCCUCUGUUAGCCCCCCAGCUGAAGGAGAUUCAGCCAGAUACGGAAACAUGUCCCAUAUGUCGCACUCCUCCAGGUGCCAGCUACUGAAUAGAUGGACCGUAGUGAAGAAUCCCGGAUGAUAAUCAUGGAGGUUAGUGUCCCUUAAGUUGAGACAGCAAUGGUUUAUCACCAUUUUUCAAUUAGAGUGAUAGGGGUUUUUUACAUAUGUGAGAAGUAAGUAACACUAUACUGUCUUGUACGCUCUUGUUACUCCCUAGAUCUGUACAGUGAGUGCUGCUCUAAUUAAUGGAGGCUUGCGUAAUUAAUUACUGUGCAAAUACAUUAUAAUCAUGUUAUCACAUGCUGUGAAAUACACUUUUAAUGUAUAUGGAUAUUGUUUCAUAUUGGUACAAGACUUAGUUGGAUUAAAUGAUUGGUGAAAUGUAUUUAAGAUCAAGUGAGUUAUAAAAACAGGAAGUUACUGUUUUCUAAUCAGUAGAACUACUUUUGAAGUUGGGCAACUGCCUUUGUGUUUAAACUGUGCCCAAAGAAGCACGUUAUGUCAUGGUCAAGCAGAUAGCUGGUAUGAGGAAAGG